AUUAAUUGAAUUUAAUUCCUAAUAUAAUAUGUGAAUUUGUCUCUACAUAUAUUAUCAUGCGUCGGUAUGAUUUUUAUGGCAUGCGACUACCUGUAUUUAUCGCUACACACUUUAGUUAUAUUACUGUUUAUGGCCAGUUGACGGAAGAGGGGGACUUAUCGCCAAGGAGCCAUCACAAACACGGGGUCGACUCGCUAAUAUAGGACAAAGAUAAUUCAGUCACUAACGAAGCGUCGAAUUCCUACAAGUGAGAAAGUGUUUACAAAUAAUAUCAGUAAAAGAGCAUAAUUCUAAAAUUGAAGUUCGGUUUAGGCUGUUUGAGUCAUAUGACCUCGAAUAUUUUGCCAGUGCAAAUUGUGUAAAUUCAUUGCGAGUACAUGAUAAUAUAAUAAAGUGAGUCAUGGAAAUUAACGGGGACUUGGUUAGUGUAAAGCCAGUGCCGAACGAUACCCAGGUGGAUAUAGGCGAUGAUUUUGUUUUCGAUCCAAUCAACUCGUACUAAGUCAAAAAUGUUGAAACAUCCCCAUUUUAUGAAUCAUUAGCAAACCAUAUGAAUCAGAAUAUGGCAUUACAAGAUAAAUUAGAUAAAAAAAUAUCAAUUGAUUUUGAGUGCAAAAAUGUUAAAACCGAGUCUACGUUUCUAUCAACCCUUGUCAUCAAAUCUGAAUGAGACAAUUUUCAAACUAUAGUAAAAAUGGAAUACGAAAAUCAAACCAAUGUCAUGGAUGAAAGUAUACGUAUUGAUUUCGAGUGCAAAGAUGUUAAACCUGAACUGACGUUUCCGUCUACAACAAUCUGCAAAACUGAGUAUCAAAGUCCGCCAGUUGAGAAAAUAGAAAAUCAAAUUCAGUCCCAUCCUUUGAACGUUAAAGAUCUGAUAAUUUUGAGAAAAGGGAAAUUCGAUGUAGAAAAAAAUUACCAAUUUUCACCUAAUUUACCAUUAACAUAUAGUGAAUCCAAAAAGAUGAAAAUGAAAAAAACAUAUCAAACAAAAUCAUAUGAGUGUGAAAUUAGUCGAAAAACUCCUAAGGGAGAAGCGAAUAAAAAAAACAUAUUAAUGCCUUGCACAAGAGCAUUUGAGAUAUGUAAUGAAUCAUUUUAUUACCCAAGCCAAUUCAAACGUCACGUCAACACAGUACAUAAUCGUAUUAAACUCCUCGAAUGUGAGAUUUGUCACAAAUCAUUUGGACUAAAAAAAAAUCUC